GAUGAACGCUGGCGGCGUGCUUAACACAUGCAAGUCGAGCGAAGCGCUUAAGUUUGAUUCUUCGGAUGAAGACUUUUGUGACUGAGCGGCGGACGGGUGAGUAACGCGUGGGUAACCUGCCUCAUACAGGGGGAUAACAGUUAGAAAUGGCUGCUAAUACCGCAUAAGACCACAGUACUGCAUGGUACAGUGGUAAAAACUCCGGUGGUAUGAGAUGGACCCGCGUCUGAUUAGGUAGUUGGUGAGGUAACGGCCCACCAAGCCGACGAUCAGUAGCCGACCUGAGAGGGUGACCGGCCACAUUGGGACUGAGACACGGCCCAGACUCCUACGGGAGGCAGCAGUGGGGAAUAUUGCACAAUGGGCGAAAGCCUGAUGCAGCGACGCCGCGUGAAGGAUGAAGUAUUUCGGUAUGUAAACUUCUAUCAGCAGGGAAGAAAAUGACGGUACCUGACUAAGAAGCC
rnacentral:rRNA from 1 species